rnacentral:rRNA from 1 species
UACGGGGGGGGCAAGCGUUGUUCGGAAUUACUGGGCGUAAAGGCGCGUAGGCGGCCUGCUAAGUCACACGUGAAAUCCCUCGGCUCAACCGGGGAACUGCGUGUGAUACUGGCGGGACUUGAAUUCGGGAGAGGGAUGUGGAAUUCCAGGUGUAGCGGUGAAAUGCGUAGAUAUCUGGAGGAACACCGGUGGCGAAGGCGGCAUCCUGGACCGAGAUUGACGCUGAGGCGCGAAAGCUAGGGGAGCAAACGGG